rnacentral:lncRNA from 1 species
CUGCCAAACCUACGUCGCCGGCUCCCACCACUCCUACCGGAUCAUCGCCACCCGCUUCUUCUCCAGCGGCUUCCCCGUCCAAACAGACGGUGCCAGCUCCUGCGAAGGCGCCGACAUCUUCAACACCGGCGGCUGCACCGGUUACUUCUCCACCAGCUUCAACGCCUGCAAGCUCUCCUCCAGCGAGCACUCCACCUGCGAGCUCUCCUCCCGCGAGCACUCCUCCGGCGAGAUCUCCACCCGCAGCUGCACCGACAACUCCUCCCGAAAGCUCUCCUCCGGCUGGGGCCCCUCCGGCUCCGGUUAUUGCUCCAAGUGCCGAUGUUCCAGCUCCAACUCCCAGCAAGAAGAAGCCAAAGAAGCACAUUGCGCCAGCUCCAGGUCCAGACAUGCUUAGUCCACCUGCUCCGCCGACCGAAUCUCCUGCUCCAAGCCUCGAAUCAACUUCUCCUGCUCCAGCCGUGAUCUCCGAUGAGGUACUUUCUCAUAUUUCUUUUCCACACGUUUUCGCCUUAGAUUUUAGGAAUUAACAUGCGGCCAGAUCGCAAUGUGCACCCACCCAGAUCUACACUAUAACCUCGAAGAUCUAUGACGGUUCCAAAAUACAAUACUAAGAUUUAAUCAUAUUUACCUCCUUAAACGAACUGAACGACACCGUUUCCUUCUAAUAAGUACAUUGUCCGAAUAGUGUAAAGUACUUUUACAAUGAACUGUGAACUAUUACUUUUACCUUCCGGUAAGUGCGCAAUGUGCUGCGUGCACAACGUGCAUCGUAUUGUUUCUAUAAGCGCGAAAGCCGAGCGCAUGCGGAGCGUGUGAGACACGCGCCAGCUCUGAUACCGGCGGAAGAGCCAUUUAUUGACGCAUUUUGCAUAGUACGGAAGACGAUGGUGUCUGGCGGUCAUGUUUUGAGGGCGAAACGACAAGGCAGCGGACCCGAUAGGUUUGUUCAACAGAGUAAAAUCUUGAAGUGUGCGCCGAGAUUUUAGUCCGGUUGCAAAUCAAUGUCAGGCUGCUGUGUACUAAUUUUUACAGUAAGCGCGUGGCACGGGAUAAACAUUGAUAAAAUUUAUUUAUUAUUAUUACCAUCAGAUCUAAGACGAAAAUUUAAAAAUAAAUCUGCAUUUAUGGAAAAAAGUAAUAUAAAAUUGGAAGAAUCUAUUUAUUAUUUUUAAUAGAUUUGGAUUGUCAUUUUUGUUAUUAUUUUUUUAAAAAAAAAUUGCAGAA